UGACUGAGGCAAAUCACUCUUCGUCGAAAAAUCGUAAGAUUUCCAGACUAUCACCAGCAUAUACAGAAAGCUAAUAUAUAUAUAUAUAUAUAUUGUUUAACAUCGUAAUUGGUGAGUUUGUCUAUUUCAUUCUAUCUGCUACGACGAAUCUGGUUCAUAGUGAGGCAAAACGGGCGAUCUACGGGACUGCGUGUCCUGGAAAUUUCCCACUAGAUCGUGCUGUUCAUCGUCGCGUUCAAGGUAUCAAAUAUAUCAAUCUUAUUUUUGUAAAAAUUCCGAUCGAAGCAAAAGAGAGACGGCCCACGAGACCGCGGUCUUGGAAAUUUCCCCUUGGGACCGUCUCCUCUCGCCGUGCAAUAACUGUUUGUUACACAUCGUCGUUCGAAUCAAACCGAAUCAAAAUUUAAUUAAAUCAAAUAGUUUACCUUCCGUUACAAUUUUAUGUUAUAUUCUCAACUUAAUAGAUUUCACUUUUAUAUUUCUCUUAUUACUGCAUAUUUCAUUUACCAUUUUCUUGUAUUUCACACAGCUCGGACCUUUUGUUAACCAACGUUUUCAUUGUUAUAAUUAUCUUUUCUUGAAAUUAUAUUUUUGUUACUCAUAAACAGUCUCUAACUAAUUUCUCUUCAACACAUUUCCUUCCUACACAUUCACGCCUACCAUCUACAUACAAAUUCACACGAGGGGCCCGUAUGGGACCAGGGCA